rnacentral:misc_RNA from 1 species
AUCUUUUAUCAUAAUAUAUGAUUUAAAAAUUAUAAAAGUGUGGGUUUUAAAAAUACAAAAUUUCGCGAGACCAUGAAGGCACGCUAAAAUCGGUAAUGAUCCUUCCGCAGGUUCACCUACGGAAA